GAUGAAGAACGCAGCGAAAUGCGAUAAGUAGUGUGAAUUGCAGAAUUCAGUGAAUCAUCGAAUCUUUGAACGCACAUUGCGCCCCUUGGUAUUCCAUGGGGCAUGCCUGUUCGAGCGUCAUUUGUACCUUCAAGCUCUGCUUGGUGUUGGGUGUUUGUCUCGCCUCUGCGCGCAGACUCGCCUCAAAACAAUUGGCAGCCGGCGUAUUGAUUUCGGAGCGCAGUACAUCUCGCGCUUUGCACUCAUAACGACGACGUCCAUAAAGUACAUUUUUUACACUCUUGACCUCGGAUCAGGUGGGGAUACCCGCUGAACUUAAGCAUAUCAAUAAGCGGAGGA
rnacentral:misc_RNA from 1 species